UACUGGUAGUGUUCUGUUUCAUUAUCUGGAUGAUGGCUAAAUGGUAUGUUAAGUUUCCGAAGACCCAACAAUUUGUAUAGUGCAGAUAUGUGUACUUUUCUGUGUAUGCUAUACUUCAGUAAAAAGAUAAAAAUAAAGCAACUUCUCGUAAUUUGAUCUUUGAGCUGCCCAUGAUGAAUUGUGCGUUGUCUGAUGUGCCAAGCCAUAAAUUUGGCUGUGAAGAGCAGCACUCUGUUAUCAAGUGGAAAGAGCAUAUAUGAGAUUGGGCUCAAGGAUGCCUGUCAUCCUAGUGUAUGACAUCAGGUAAUGUCACAACCCUGGAUUUAAGUAUGUCACAAAUCAAAACUAAAUUGUAUCUAGGAUGUUCUUUUGAGUAUUCAGACCAAAAUUUUUGUUUAAUGGACAGAGAGACUCCCUGAUGCAAGUUGAACCAGUUGUGCCACCUCCUGGUUUCUGUCUAGGUUCUCAUCUCAUAUAGCAGCUUCCUUACUUAAUUCCCUUUCAACCUCUGGGCACUUGUCUGUGUCUUUCCUGUAGUAAAAAUAGCAAGUCCCCAAGCUAACUAUGAGUAUGUUAUUUUAAACAUGCAGCAGCCUAUUUUUAGCCCUGGCAUUUAACUGUUUAGCUAGUUUGGCAGUAAUCUAAUCAGGACUACGGGGUGAGGCUCACUUUUGACAGUCUAGGACCCCUGUUCCUUGUGCUGCUUGUUCAUUAAUAAUUGGCACUAUGCUGAUUAAAGAAGAAAAAUUUGUGAAAGUAAACCAUGAGAAGAGUCCAAAAGAGAUGUGAUAGAGAAGGUGCUAUGGAUAUUAUAAUAAAAACAAAUGGCAGGAUGUAGCAACUGUGGCUGAAUUUUCACUACUUUGAAGAUUUGAAUGUGAAGUUAAAGCCCAUGAAGCAGAAUGUCUGCCUGGAAUU